UAACACGUGUAAAUCAGCUCCAUUAUUCUCCUCCAUUUAACACGUGUAGCAAUGCAGUAAUAAACAAGCCAUCUUUUUUUUAUUUCUCUUCUUGGAUUUCUCUCUCUACCAAUGACACAUCUUCAUUUCAGCUACCUUGCAUUGGAAAAGACAACAGCUUGCUAAUCUCGUAGUCUGCUUUUCACUAAUUGCACGCUUUUGAGGAGGACGAAUAUCACACUGUCGCCGCUUGUUCGUCUGCUACUGUCUCUUCUCCAUUCAACAAUGUUGGUGCUGCAUCAGCGAUCUUCCCUUCACCAGUCGGUCAAUCCUCACUGCCUACUGCUUCAAUCAAGAGUCGUUUUGCAGCUGUGGAUCAACGUCCGUUUUACCAUUAUGAUUCUUCUAAGACCAUCAACUCUUUCUGUUAUAAAGAUAUAGCUCUUUCUGAUUGGAGAGGUGACCAUUGGAAAUGGCCUGUCACUGAGGCGGCCAUGUCUUGACAGAUCUCUUGGAGAAUUGGUUGGUUUCUUCUUAAAUUUUUCCUGCUGAUGUUGCUUGCCUUUUCCUUUACGAGCAGUUUUAGGAACAUCUUAAAGGAUUUUUGAUGAAUGCCCCCUGAGUUCCUUGACAGUAAAAGCUUGAUGUAGUAACAUAGGCCUACCAUUAAAGUGAUAAUGUGGUGCCUUUAUACGAUUGUUGUUUUCUUUAUACAAUUGGAUGAUGCCCCUCGGGCUCUUCCAUAUCAUGUGCCUUAAAUACUUUAACAAAAUAUCCUGGCCCUUUGGCUCUUUCAUAUCAUUCCUCAACAAUAUUAGUCAUUGUUGAAAUAA